UCGAUUCAAGUUACCUUCGGGUAAUGAGGAUGGCGGACGGGUGAGUAACGCCCUAUGGAACUUGCCUCUUGGACUGGGACAACUGUUGGAAACGACAGCUAAUACCGGAUAUUAUGAGAUUCUCGCAUGAGAAACUUAUGAAAGCUAUAUGCGCCAAGAGAGAGCCUUGCGUUCCAUUAGCUAGUUGGUGGGGUAACGGCCCACCAAGGCGACGAUGGAUAGCCGGCCUGAGAGGGUGAACGGCCACAAGGGGACUGAGACACGGCCCUUACUCCUACGGGAGGCAGCAGUGGGGAAUAUUGGACAAUGGGCCACAAGCCUGAUCCAGCAAUUCUGUGUGCACGAUGAAGGUCUUCGGAUUGUAAAGUGCUUUCAGUUGGGAAGAAGAAAGUGACGGUACCAACAGAAGAAGCGACGGCUAAAUACGUGCCAGCAGCCGCGGUAAUACGUAUGUCGCAAGCGUUAUCCGGAUUUAUUGGGCGUAAAGCGCGUCUAGGCGGAAAAAUAAGUCUGAUGUUAAAAUGCGGGGCUCAACUCCGUAUUGCGUUGGAAACUGUUUUUCUAGAGUACUGGAGAGGUGGGCGGAACUACAAGUGUAGAGGUGAAAUUCGUAGAUAUUUGUAGGAAUGCCGAUGGAGAAGUCAGCUCACUGGACAGAUACUGACGCUGA
rnacentral:rRNA from 1 species